rnacentral:lncRNA from 1 species
UUUUCAACUUCAAGCACAGCGAUGGUGGAUCUUGAAAACGAUAAUUGUCACGACCUAAAGCUCGAUCCAGAUCAUCAUCAUCAACAACAUCCCAUGAUCUUUCAACAACGAUUGAUUUAUUUAGAUCAGCUUUCUCCGGCAUCAACUGUAGAGUAACGAAACCCUUGUUUCCAUCGUUAUCUUCUCUAGCUCUAUCCAAGAUUCGUUUCUUCCUAGUAUUAUUUUUCUCGCAAACCCUAACGUACUUUCUCUUCUUUCUCUUGCUAGUAACAUCCAAGUUCUUGCUAUUAAGGAUAGACUCACUGGAAUCCGAAUCUCCGUUCACCGGUUUUGGAGCAAUCGGCCUGAAUUUGAGCAUUAUCCGAUUGAUUAUCGUCUUAUCGUAUACACCCCCGGAGUAUUUUACCAUGCUCCAAUGAUUCCCACCCUCCAUUUCUCCUUUUUCCAAGAAAAAAUAAACACAACAAUUCCUCUCUCCCUGUUUUAUCUUGAAAUUUCCUUUGGGUUUUUUUUUUAUUUUAUCGUUCAGAUUUUUUUUUUCUGUUUCUGUUAUUUUGUUCUCCUAAGGAGGGUUUACCGGAGAAUAAUGAAGCGAAAAUCAUAGCGGCAGCAAUCGUGGCCAAGAUCCGGGGAUACACGUGUCAAGAUCUCAUAGCUCUACACCUGAAACAAUGACGAGGGUUGAUUGGCUAAGUGGGUCCCAG